AGCCAAGUGAGAAAUGAACGCUGUCUCGAAAUAUAUGUUGGAAAUAGUGGAAUUGACGGGUCUAAAAAUGGAAAUGAGAAACUAGUUGUGGAAGACUGGAGUACAUUGGAGAGUAUUUCUAAUACUGUUAUAACUCCUUCUUCAUGCAUCCUUCUAAUAGUUUAUAAGAGAAACGUUGAAGAUUUGGGAAAAAUAUCCAACAUAAAAAUUAGCGGAUACAGUCCUAAAUUAUACAUUGUGAUUGAUAAUGAAGUAUCAAAUGAUCACAUAAAUAUAGGAAUAAAAACAUUAAUAUAAUUAG